rnacentral:rRNA from 2 species
GGGCGUGGCGGCCUGCUAUACAUGCAGUCGAGCGGACCUCUUCGGAGGUCAGCGGCGGACGGGUGAGUAACACGUGGGCAACCUGCCUGUAAGACUGGGAUAACUCCGGGAAACCGGAGCUAAUACCGGAUAUUAUGUCAAACCGCAUGGUUUGACAUUCAAAGACGGUUUCGGCUGUCACUUACAGAUGGGCCCGCGGCGCAUUAGCUAGUUGGUGAGGUAAUGGCUCACCAAGGCAACGAUGCGUAGCCGACCUGAGAGGGUGAUCGGCCACACUGGGACUGAGACACGGCCCAGACUCCUACGGGAGGCAGCAGUAGGGAAUCUUCCGCAAUGGACGAAAGUCUGACGGAGCAACGCCGCGUGAGUGAUGAAGGUUUUCGGAUCGUAAAACUCUGUUGUCAGGGAAGAACAAGUGCCGGAGUAACUGCCGGCACCUUGACGGUACCUGACCAGAAAGCCACGGCUAACUACGUGCCAGCAGCCGCGGUAAUACGUAGGUGGCAAGCGUUGUCCGGAAUUAUUGGGCGUAAAGCGCGCGCAGGCGGUUUCUUAAGUCUGAUGUGAAAGCCCCCGGCUCAACCGGGGAGGGUCAUUGGAAACUGGGAAACUUGAGUGCAGAAGAGGAGAGUGGAAUUCCACGUGUAGCGGUGAAAUGCGUAGAGAUGUGGAGGAACACCAGUGGCGAAGGCGACUCUCUGGUCUGUAACUGACGCUGAGGCGCGAAAGCGUGGGGAGCGAACAGGAUUAGAUACCCUGGUAGUCCACGCCGUAAACGAUGAGUGCUAAGUGUUAGAGGGUUUCCGCCCUUUAGUGCUGCAGCUAACGCAUUAAGCACUCCGCCUGGGGAGUACGGUCGCAAGACUGAAACUCAAAGGAAUUGACGGGGGCCCGCACAAGCGGUGGAGCAUGUGGUUUAAUUCGAAGCAACGCGAAGAACCUUACCAGGUCUUGACAUCCUUUGCCACUUCUAGAGAUAGAAGGUUCCCCUUCGGGGGACAAAUUGACAGGUGGUGCAUGGUUGUCGUCAGCUCGUGUCGUGAGAUGUUGGGUUAAGUCCCGCAACGAGCGCAACCCUUGAUCUUAGUUGCCAGCAUUCAGUUGGGCACUCUAAGGUGACUGCCGGUGACAAACCGGAAGGAAGGUGGGGGAUGACGUCAAAUCAUCAUGCCCCUUAUGACCUGGGCUAACACCUUGCUACAAUGGAAGGGUACAAAGGGUUGCCAAACCCCCAG